rnacentral:rRNA from 1 species
UACAGAGGUCCCAAGCGUUGUUCGGAUUCACUGGGCGUAAAGGGUGCGUAGGCGGUCGGGUAAGUCUGACGUGAAAUCUUCGAGCCUAACUCGGAAACUGCGUCGGAUACUAUUCGGCUAGAGGAAUGGAGGGGAGACUGGAAUACUUGGUGUAGCAGUGAAAUGCGUAGAUAUCAUGUGGAACCCCAGUGGCGAAGGCGAGUCUCUGGACAUUUCCUGUCGCUGAGGCACGAAAGCCAGGGGAGCAAACGGU